AUACGGGGGGUGCAAGCGUUAAUCGGAAUUACUGGGCGUAAAGCGCGCGUAGGCGGUUUGCUCAGUCGGAUGUGAAAGCCCAGGGCUCAACCUUGGAACUGCAUACGAUACUGGCAAACUGGAGUGUGAGAGAGGAUAGUGGAAUUUCCGGUGUAGCGGUGAAAUGCGUAGAUAUCGGAAGGAACAUCAGUGGCGAAGGCGACUGUCUGGCUCAACACUGACGCUGAGGUGCGAAAGCGUGGGUAGCAAACAGGAUUAGAAACCCUAGUAGUCC
rnacentral:rRNA from 1 species